CAAAAAGCGUUUUCUACGUACACCUUGGGGUGUAGUGACAACAAGUUUUUAACUUAGUCGUUACACCUAAGGACGCUACAAAUGAUAUUUUAUAGUUAUUUUCAUUUUGGACAUUUUUUUACAUUUACAUUUAUACAUAGGUUAUAGGUUUCUGUUACAACAAGAAUGUAAAUAAAUGGUUAUUAUUAUUAUUAUUACUUGUACUAACUAGUAACUGCCAACUUAAGAGAUGAGUUACCAAAAAAAAACGACUAUAAUAACUGUCUUUGUACAACUGUUUUCCAAAAUCAUCAUUGUGACACCGAAAUAGAAAAAAAAUUAAAAUUUGUUGGGUGGGCCUAAUAAUUUGGCCAAGGACUGUAUGUGAUUGUAGAGUUUCCUGAGGAGGAAAAUGAAGAUGGAAAUGUUCCCAUGGAUAUCAUUUCCGAAAGAUGGCUAUUUAAAGAUAAUAAUGUGUUACUGGCCGCCAUAUAAAUCUGAUCUGUUAAAAACCAAGGCAGUCAUGAGUCACCAGGAUUUCGAUAAAAGUAAAGCUGGAUCUUGCCUUGUAAACGUAAAAUACAAUUAUUAAGUACAAGUACCUACUUGUAAAUUUGUGUUACUGAUUCAUAUUUUCUUACAGCGGAAUACUCAAAGGCAAAAUCAAAAAUGGGUAGAUUACUACAAGAACAGCAAGAUCUCUCCCAAACAGAAGAGGAAGUUUCGGUAAAUGUUGACAGAAAAAAAAACAAUUCGAACUCUUCCUGACUUCGAAACAAAAGAGAUGUCAUCAGAUGAUGAAGGUUUAGUGCCAGCACCUUCAACAUUACAAAAAAAAAGCAAGUUACAUCUACUGUGCCAACUACACCUAAGGUAAGUGUGCAAGAGCGAGAUAUGGCAGCAAGUACGAGCUACAAUGCAUGCACCUGCAAAUGUUGCAUAGAAAAUAAAAGUGGGUAUACUGAUAGCUUUUUAUUUCCUACUCUUUAAUGCAAUGUGUAUUUAUGUUAUAUAUUUUCCACGAACAUAUAUUUCUAGUAAUGAUGCGGAAUCUGCUGCAAAAAUUUGAGAAGCUGUCAAGCGACGUAAAAGCAGUUUUAAACAACCCUCAAAGAAAUUACGUGGCUGAUGACACUCAAAUAGACCAGAUGGCAUUUACCACUGCCGAUAAUGAACAAGACUUGCAACACCUGGAGAACGUGUUAUCUGACAAUGAGUAUCUACUAAAAGCAUGUGGCACUCUCCGAAUGCUUGGUGGAAAAGAUAUCACCGAGACCACACGUCGAGUGUUGGCAAAAAUGGUUUCCACUACCCUGGCAAUGAAAUGUAACUGAGCUGACCAUCAUGAAAAAAUUGCAUUUUCUACAUAUACAAAUAUUUUAAAGUUGAUACUUGCAACAGUGCGAAAAAAUCCACAUUCGCGGGAAGCCACCCAAAUAGAGGUGGAAAACAAAAUCGUGGCUGCGGACGGCUGGAGAUAGAGAUGAUGGAAGAAGUAAGAGGGGGAAAGCAGAAUAAAUUUUCCAAUACACUUUUUUAAAUAUUUGAAAAAAGUUAAGGAAUAAAUUAUAUGCAGUGUACAUUUUGUUUAUUCUAAACGAUCUUGAAAUGUCAUUUAGAUGAAUAAUAAAUGCUGACAAUUAAACGGCUAUGGCCAAUGGUAGGCACACGGUGU